CUGUCCAUGAGAAAUCACUGAUAAGGCUGUAGUUUUGUCCUGGACCUGACACUGGUGGUGCAAAAGAAACUGAAUACUAAUGCAGAGAACUCUUCACACCCACAAACUCCGUGGUCAGCUAGUGUCUGGCUUUGUUUUUAACCCUUGAAGAAACGCAUGCUCAGGAAACUGAGGAGCUUUAUGAAGAAAUUUGAGCUGGUAACUGAGUGCUAAAGUCUUGUCUGAUGGCUGCUUAGCUGAGGGAGAAGAGAUUUGAUCGCUUGUGGAAUUCCCCCUGCCUCAGCCCACGUGGAUGGGCAGUGAGCAGCAUUCCCUCCUGGCUUGGCAGCUCUGGUCCAUACUCAACACAGUGACUUCAGUGCCUUUGUCAGCAGUGUCUGCUGGAGCACUGGAGGCUCACCACUGUCCCCUGGGAAUGUGAGACAGCAGUGGCUUAUAAAAGCAUAAUGCAUUCCCAGUGUGCUCCUGAGAGAAAGGAGUCCAGCUUUGCUCAGGUCCCGCUCUGUGGGAAGGGCUGUAGAAAAGAAAGCCCUUGGCAGCAAUGUCAAAUGAUAAGUCCCAUUGUGGUGUAAACAGGGUUGAGGUUUAGAAAUGAAAAAUUCAGUGGUGAAUCACAUGAACUCUCCUUCCCACUUACUGAAUACAUUACAAGUUUUUAGAAAAAUCUGCAUUAGUAAUACUAUAAAAAUCUGCUUUUAUUGGAUUAUGGAUUGCAUUGCAUAUCCUCAAUUGAAAAAAGGGAGGUUGUGCCCCCCCACAUGCUUGCCACUAAUAUAUCUUAUU